rnacentral:rRNA from 1 species
AGCAGCCGCGGUAAUUCCAGCUCCAAUAGCGUAUAUUAAAGUUGUUGCAGUUAAAAAGCUCUAGUUGAAUUUCGGGAUCAGCAGGUCGGUCGUGCCACUGGUAUGCACUGGCCUUGCUGAUUCCUCCCUCUUGAUGAGCCGUAAUGCCAUUAAUUUGGUGUUGCGGGGAAUCAGGACUGUUACUUUGAAAAAAUUUAGAGUGUUUAAAGCAGGCAUGCGCUUGAAUACAUUAGCAUGGAAUAAUGAAAUAGGACGUUCGAUCCUAUUUUGUUGGUUUCUAGGAUUGACGUAAUGAUUAAUAGGGAUAGUUGGGGGCAUUAGUAUUCAAUUGUCAGAGGUGAAAUUCUUGGAUUUAUUGAAGACUAACUACUGCGAAAGCAUUUGCCAAGGAUGUUUUCAUUAAUCAAGAACGAAAGUUAGGGGAUCGAAGACGAUCAGAUACCGUCGUAGUCUUAACCAUAAACUAUGCCGACUAGGGAUCGGAUGAUGUUAAUUUUUUAAUGACUCAUUCGGCGCCUUA